AGGGCACCACCAGGAGUGGAGCCUGUGGCUUAAUUUGACUCAACACGGGGAAACUCACCAGGCCCGGACACCAGAAGGAUUGACAGAUUGAUAGCUCUUUCUUGAUUUGGUGGUUGGUGGUGCAUGGCCGUUCUUAGUUGGUGGAGUGAUCUGUCUGGUUAAUUCCGAUAACGAACGAGACUCUGUCCUGCUAAAUAGAUCCAGCCUUUCUUUUGGGUCGGACUCGCUUCUUAGAGGGACUGGCGAUGACUAGUCGCACGAGAUUGAGCAAUAACAGGUCUGUGAUGCCCUUAGAUGUUCUGGGCCGCACACGCGCUGCACUGAAUUGAUCAGCUAGUUUUUCCCUUUCCGAGAGGAACGGGUAAACUGUUGAACCCAAUUCGUGGUAGGGAUUAGAGCUUGCAAUUGUUCUCUAUGAACCAGGAAUUCCCAGUAAGCGCGAGUCAUCAGCUCGCGUUGAUUACGUCCCUGUCCUUUGUACACACCGCCCGUCGCUACUACCGAUUGAAUGUUUUAGUG
rnacentral:rRNA from 1 species